rnacentral:rRNA from 1 species
ACAGAGGGUGCGAGCGUUAAUCGGAAUUACUGGGCGUAAAGCGCGCGUAGACGGUUUUGUAAGUCAGAUGUGAAAUCCCUGGGCUCAACCUGGGAACUGCAUUUGAGACUGCAUGGCUAGAGUAUGGAAGAGGGAAGUGGAAUUUCCGGUGUAGCGGUGAAAUGCGUAGAUAUCGGAAGGAACACCAGUGGCGAAAGCGACUUCCUGGUCCAAUACUGACGUUCAUGUGCGAAAGCGUGGGGAGCAAACAGGAUUAGAUACCCUGGUAGUCCACGCCAUAAACGAUGACAACUAGAUGUUGGGAGGGUCUGCCUCUCGGUGUCGCAGCUAACGCGUUAAGUUGUCCGCCUGGGGAGUACGGCCGCAAGGUUG